rnacentral:lncRNA from 1 species
CUUCGCUGCAAGCCUUUCUUCAAGAAUUACAUGAAAUGUCAUAUGGACGAAGAUGAUCGACUAGAGGGAGCUUUUUCUUCCAGGAAAACACAUCAAAGCAUCAGCUGCUUUCCUUCUCUCCUAAUGCCAAAUUUAUUUGGCUGUAUAUUGUUCCUUGGAAAGCAUAAAGCAAAAGAAGAAAGAGACCAAGAUUUGCGACAGACCAAGAAGUAACUGAUCCUCAAAUUGCAUCUCAGGCACCAACGCAUUGCUUAAUUUUCUUUUUCAUCAACUCGAUUCUGCUCUCUCUAAAUUUUAACCGUUCAUAUAUAUAUAUAUAUAUAUAUAUAACCGGUUGAGAUUUGAAGGGUUGAGAUUUGAAGGACGAAUAUUAUGAACGAUCUCCCCCCGUCUCUCUCUCUCUCUCUCUCUGAAGUACAUCUGUACAUGCAUGAUACUUCUGCUCCAAAAAAUAUUGUCAUCCCAUCCGCACUGUGCUCCCAGCUAGCCAUUCCUUCUCCACGCAGUCUCCAUCGAUGGGUGGCUUCUGUUGCUCCACCACAGCCGGUCAAAUCGAUAUCACAAAUAACAGGAAGAAAUAAUAUCUUCUUCCUCAUCCUCUUCCUCCGCAUGAGUGAGAUCGGUCGGAGCCAUAGGCCCCGGAUUUGUGCCACCUUCAUCGCCUCGCCCCUCGAUCCUAUCACGAUCGUUGGCACCACGCCCAGUACAACU